rnacentral:rRNA from 1 species
UACGUAGGGGGCUAGCGUUGUCCGGAUUUAUUGGGCGUAAAGCGCUCGCAGGUGGUCCGUCGCGUCGUGCGUGAAAGACCCCGGCUCAACUGGGGAGGGUCGUGCGAUACGGGCGGACUGGAGGCCAGUAGGGGGAUGCGGAAUUCCGGGUGUAGUGGUGGAAUGCGUAGAGAUCCGGAGGAACACCAGCGGCGAAGGCGGCAUCCUGGACUGGUCCUGACACUCAGGAGCGAAAGCGUGGGGAGCGAGCCGG